GCCCCAGCUGGUAGAGCACCUAGCUUGGGCUGUGUCCAUUUCCCUGGAGUUCUAGUCUUUAGUCAGCCAUGGACCUGGAGAAUGCACUGCAUCAGAACAGAGAGGGAUGAUAAAGAAGGGUUGGGAAUGGACAAGCAAUAGGAGAGUUCCCAUGGAAUCACCCAGUGCACCUUGGAUCAAGGAAGACCUGAAGCAGAGAUGGAUUCUUCUCCCUGGAGCAGCUUCUAAGGAACCAGAGCCAUGACUCCUCAUCUUGAAGAGGAGCCCAGGAGAAACUACAGAAGUGUUCCAGGUGGCUACUAUCUAGGAGAAAGUCUCAGACUUUGAUAUCUGGACAUUAGAAAAAGAAGAUGGCGAACAUAACACUGGUGGUUCUUUUCCAAAGUCCUUGGAUUGCCUGACAAGAUCAGAUUCAUUCUCCUUAUCAUCUCUUCCUGGAGCACCCUUUUCUCGAUGACUUCAAUGUUGCAGGCUUCCUUUUUGAUCUCAGCUUCAUCACCUGCAUCCAUAGCAAGAAGACCUACCUGAAGAUCAUUCAGGAAAAACUGCUCUGAAAAAAAGAGCUUGAAGACUAAUCAUGGUUAUCCAAAGAGGAGAGAUGGUCAUUGGCAAGGGGGAAUAACAUGGAAUCUAUGACUAAGAACCUCUAAGCAGAGGAAUCUAUAAAGAGACUUUAGAAGUAGUAUUCUUGAAAAGGAGGACAUUUCCUAAAAUUAAGGGAUGGGUUUAAGUAGGGUUAUCCACUUUAUGAAAUUAUAGGUCAUGAUUUACUUAUAGCCCCACAUCCUAUCUCCUAGGGGUCAAUAAAAUGAUUCCAAAUAAUAGGAUAGAAGAAGAGAAUUAACUCUUUGGCCUUUAAACCUUUCCAGAAUAAAAUAUUUCAAAUUGAAUUGUGUAUGCAUUUUUCAUUCAUUCAUUCAACAAGUACU